AUUGAACGCUGGCGGCAGGCCUAACACAUGCAAGUCGAGCGGAUGAAGGGAGCUUGCUCCUGGAUUCAGCGGCGGACGGGUGAGUAAUGCCUAGGAAUCUGCCUGGUAGUGGGGGAUAACGUCCGGAAACGGGCGCUAAUAGCGCAUACGUCCUGAGGGAGAAAGUGGGGGAUCUUCGGACCUCACGCUAUCAGAUGAGCCUAGGUCGGAUUAGCUAGUUGGUGGGGUAAAGGCCUACCAAGGCGACGAUCCGUAACUGGUCUGAGAGGAUGAUCAGUCACACUGGAACUGAGACACGGUCCAGACUCCUACGGGAGGCAGCAGUGGGGAAUAUUGGACAAUGGGCGAAAGCCUGAUCCAGCCAUGCCGCGUGUGUGAAGAAGGUCUUCGGAUUGUAAAGCACUUUAAGUUGGGAGGAAGGGCAGUAAGUUAAUACCUUGCUGUUUUGACGUUACCAACAGAAUAAGCACCGGCUAACUUCGUG
rnacentral:rRNA from 1 species